CAGGUCUAGAAUUUCUGAAGUGUUUGGAGCAGGAGGUAUGUGGACAAGAAGUGGUGGCAUUUCCAAACAAGACUGGAUCCUGAAUCGUUAAUUUUGUACUUGUUCCUAAAAGAAAGCUUUUUUGAAGCAAAACCUUCUCUUGAUGUCUGAACGCACCCUGAAGAUGUUCAUCACCAGAGCUGUAAAUUCAAGACAAAAAGCCAUCCAGAGCACUUGGGCAUCUGCUACUUUUGGCAAAUUCAAGGUGACAUUGUCUCAGAGAGGCAAGAGAAGAACACAGCUGCAUGCCCUGAUUGUCAUUCCCAGAGAACCUCAACUGGGCCAGCUGUGGAAAAUUGAGGCGCUUUCUUGGUCCUGUGCAAAAAGAAUCUGAAUAAAUGAUCUCAUGUAAUAGCAAACCUGACAGAUCUUCAUAAUUGAUCACUAUUCCUCGCAGACAAAGCGCACAGGAUGCAAGCGGAAUGAAGCAAU